UUCUCUCUUCCUUCUCUCUACUUUCUCUCUCUAGAUUUUCUCCGAUUCUCUGCAUGUUUUCAACUCUCCUGUUCCUUCUCUUCUUAAAUCCCUCAUUGUCUUCCUUCAAACGUCACCGGAAAUGCUUGAAUUUUGAAUCAUAAAGGAGGAAGAGCCCUAGGAGUUCACUCAAGCCACUAAAUAAUGUUUUCGUUUGUCUCCAAAGAAAAAAUAAUUAAUAUUAUUCUAGGGCUCGAAUGAUUUUCUUUCAAUCUCUUCCUCGGUCUGGCAUAGGUAAGUUCCUUCUCUGUCUUUACCAUUUCAAUUCAAUUAACUUCUUGAUAGUUUAAUUCAUAUUUUAAUCUGAUUAGCGGUGGCCAUUGUUUUAGUUCUUGUUAGUGUUAGGAUUUUUUUUAAUUACAUUUUACUCGUCUUCUUAGAGUAACUGGUUCGUUUUUAUUCAAUUUAGUUUAGGCCUUUGAAAUUGGUUGAUUAUGGCUAAUAUGCCUUUGGGUUAAUUUAAAACCCAAGGUAUAUUUAGGCAGCUUGGGGUGCAAGGUCUGUUUGUAAGUAAUUAACAAGGGUGUUAAGGGUAAUUCAGGUAAUAUAGGUAGGAAAUCUUUCCUAACAAACUGAGAAGGUUCUAGUAUAUAGGGGAGGUGACAUGUAAGGGAGUGAGGAGAGGAUUUUAGGUUUAUCUAGGGAAGGGUAUGAGAUUAAUCUAGGAGGAAAAAAUGACUGAAAAGAGCUAGAAAAUUCUGUGGAUUUCAUGUCUAUAAAAGGGGCAUUUCCCUUACUUAUUUGACAAGUUUGGAGCCCUAAUAUUCCCCCAAGAAAUGUACUUAAGCUCUAACAUAUCUGAAAUUCAAAUUCAGAUCAGAAUAUCAUCUUAAAUCUUAGCUUUCUUCACAUAAAAAGCCAAAAACAUUAGAAAUUACAAAAAUAAUAAAAAAACUGUUAUGUUCCAAUUUCUUAUUUUAAUUUCAAGAUUGAGAGGUUAAUCUGCACUUCCAGUUUAGUUCCCAGUAAUUGGAGGUUUCAGGAGUUCCCUGGUGGGUUUUGCGAGUUGUUUUGGGUCUAUUCAAAUUGGUUUUAAGUUGAUCUGGUAGUUCUAUUUGGUUUUCAACAUUUCUAGACCUCUAAAUUUGCACCUGGGCUGUUGCUGAUCCCUCCAUAUUGCUGAUGAUUCAUUUUUCUUUGUUUUGCCUUCAUUCAGGCACACUUUUGAAUUACCUUGAUGUAACCUUGAGUUGACGUUGAAAUUGAGGUGCCUACCAGAGUUAAGCUCAUUUGGAUGUUGUUCUACAAUGUGAUAGUUCCCAGUUAAAUGAAUGUAGUUGAAUGCUCAAUAUUUGUUUUGUAGAACAACGGUUUAGACUGCCUGAUUUUAUUGAACUGUAAUAGGACUGUUUGGUCGUUAUGUAAAUGACUAUAUACAACUGAGUUUAAUGGAUUGGUUAAGUUGAAGUUAGUUUCAUAUCAAUGGUUAUAUGCAGUAAGAGUUGGUUGUUUUUUUUC
rnacentral:lncRNA from 1 species